UACGGGGGGGGCAAGCGGUUGUUCGGAAUUACUGGGCGUAAAGGGCUCGUAGGCGGCCAACUAAGUCAGACGUGAAAUCCCUAGGCUCAACCUAGGAACUGCGUCUGAUACUGGAUGGCUUGAAUCCGGGAGAGGGAUGCAGAAUUCCAGGUGUAGCGGUGAAAUGCGUAGAUAUCUGGAGGAAUACCGGUGGCGAAGGCGGCAUCCUGGACCGGCAUUGACGCUGAGGCGCGAAAGCGUGGGUAGCAAACAGG
rnacentral:rRNA from 1 species